rnacentral:tRNA from 1 species
UGGCUCAGUGGUAGAACACCUGCAUAACAAGCAUGAGGCCCUGAGUUCAAAUCUCAG